rnacentral:rRNA from 1 species
AUGUUCAAGAAGAAACUCAUGCGACGUCGUGGAACUUGGCGCAUCCAAAGGGAGCUUGAUGGGUCCUCAACGUCCUGGUACUUGGCGUUCGGUGCGGCACUUGUCGAGCAAGAGGCGAAGUCGUGGUACUUGGCGCUCUGGUCGGGGUGGCAAAGCAUCAUUGAACUUCUGUUUGAGACAACAGCAAGGGACUCGGCGAAAGUCUGCUGGCAGGUGUGGCCGUCUGUGGUUGCGCGCUGGGCUAGAGGCAGCCCUGGACAGCGGGGAAGGAGCAGCCGAUGCACGGGAGGAGCGGUAUUGGUGAAGAGCAGCAGCAGCUAG